ACGUCAAUCAAUGACUGGGGUACUGAUCCCACUGUCAAGCAAUAAGCCAUCAGCUAUUUUUCAUCGUUUUUAUAUAUAUGUGGCGCAGAAUCUGCACAGACUAUAUAGUGCUCAGCUCAUAUUGGUAUUUAAUCCUCCUAUGAACCGGACAGUGAAACGCAGUCUUGGAUGAAGAGGACCAGAGGGGCACCACUGAUCCCACAACAGGAAGUCAGCUCGACACAACAGCGCGCCGCAUCUCAAGGCUUCCUCUUCCGCAUCACUGAGCCAGAUAAAAACAGUGAAUCCAGGCACCACCAACGCUGCCUUUUGCCCUCCUCACAACUCACACACACAGCUGCCAGGCUCCAAACUGAAGUUCAGCUCUGCAUUCUUGUCUCUGGUUUUCUCUGAUGGACGUAACGUGCAGAAGGAAGACGUGGCCGCUGAUGUCCCCACUGGAGCAGAGAGGAUACCGUAGCAGAGAAGAACGUGCAGAAGUUCGGACCUGCCGACCGGGUCACGGCACCACUAGAUGGAGCGUGGAGGAGCUCGGGACGCUGGUGGCAGACGUGAGGAAUGAGGAGCAGCCAUCCCUGAGGUGUGUCUGUACGAGAAGCAUCCAGGUGAGUCAUAUUCUUCUCUACCUGCUCCUGCUGUUCUGAGCCGCAGGCACCUGGCCAGAUAUCAGCGGCCUGCACCCCGGUCAAACCACCGUCCCACACUAUGGAGAACUUCAAUUACAGCGGGAUUCUCGGAGCAGAGCGCGAGGGGGUCACAUUGAUUGAGGAGGGCAACAAUUGAUUUUGUCCAUUACGUGGUGAGAAUGUUUCCAUCCUGCGCAGAUCAGGCUGCCCUCCUCCUGUGGGUGGAGAUAAGAGGCCGCUGCAUUGUGGCUGCCUAAUCUGUGUGACGGCGCUUGUCUGUGCUGAAAUUGAUGUGGCUUUUCAUGCGUCCGCGUGUGGGUCUGUGUGGUGGGGGUCUGUUCUUCCGCACCCCCGUCUCAGAUCCACUCAGAGCGCUGAGUGCCACUCACAUCAGCAAACAUGAGGGGGAUUUGCAUCGAUACAGAUAUUUGCCUUGUAUUUGUUCCACAGGAUGUGUGUAAAGAGAAUAAAGGCGUUUGUAAUGACUUGUUGAAUUCUUGAGCCUUUUCUUAUUCUUACAGUGGGACGUGGGUCAGAAGAUGGUCGAAAGUAUUGAUACGAAGGAUUUAAACUAUGCUAAUCUGAAAACAGGAGUUUUAUUGAGAAUAUUUAUUCAGUUUUUUAAAGACCAUAAUGCAUUUAAAUGCGGCCACAAAAAACAUUCAUUUGAAAUUUAGCUUUCUUUAUGUAUGUCCCAGAUCUUUUCUUCAACAAUGUAUUUUUGUCUUUCCUUUUCUGCUGAUGUCCAUUAUGCUAUGUGGGCUUUUGAUAAUCUUAAGAAAGAUGAACACUCAGAAUGACUCACAAUCCAAUCAAUUCACAAUAGAGACAAUGAAGUCCCACUUUAAAUGUUUGAAUAUAAUUUUAAGAAAAACAGUAGGGUCCAAAUGUCUGAGACCACUAUUCAUAUUGUUUUUUUUUCUUAAUUUACUUCAGUUGUUUUCAUUAAAACGUAUUUUAUUACAUAACAAUUUGAGUGAACAGAUUUUGUAUAUUAUUAUUAUUAUUCAUUAACUCUAUCAAGCCUACUGUGUUACAUUUGAUGCUAAAAUGUAUUUAUAAAAUGUAAUUUAUCAACAUGAUCAAAACCUUGUACGCAAUCCACUACAGGCCUUCUGUCAUUUGACUGACUGUUUUAGCACUUUUUUUUUUUUACCAAAUAAAAGGUCUUUUAGCAUCACUGUAGAAAUGUCCACCUUGUGUGUCGAUGUCAAACAUGAUACAACAGGCUUUUGUUGAAAGGUCAUUUGUACAUAUCUCAAUUAUUAUUGCAUUGCAUGUUUUUAAAUAUAAUUUAAAUAUAAGACACAUGCAUUGAGAGAUGCAGAGUGAAAAUGUACAUUUAUAUGCAUUUUAUGUAAGUAGUUUGUCAUACUGUUAUA